rnacentral:misc_RNA from 1 species
GAUGAAGAACGCAGCGAAAUGCGAUAAGUAAUGUGAAUUGCAGAAUUCAGUGAAUCAUCGAAUCUUUGAACGCACAUUGCGCCCCCCAGUAUUCUGGCGGGCAUGCCUGUUCGAGCGUCAUUUCAACCAUCAAGCCCUGCUUGUGUUGGGGUCCUGCGGCUGCCCGCAGGCCCUGAAAACCAGUGGCGGGCUCGCUAGUCACACCGAGCGCAGUAGCACAUCUCGCUCAGGGCGUGCGGCGGGCUCCAGCCGUUAAAGCACCCACCUUUCGCAAGGUUGACCUCGUAUCAGGUAGGAAUACCCGCUGAACUUAAGCAUAUCAAUAAGCGGAGGA